rnacentral:lncRNA from 1 species
CACAUCUCCACGCUCCUUGAACCCCUCCAGGGAUGGUGACCCCACCACCCCAUGUCUGUACCAGUGCCUGACCAGCAUCAGUACAAGGACUUAUAUUUCUUUCCUCCUGCUGUUCUUAUAAUACACAUUAAUUCAGCAGACACAAGAUUCAACACGUAAGGAAAAUAACUUGUGGAUAUAUCUGCUUUGUGUUGAUUUUAUCUCCUAUUUUCAAGAUCUGAUUUUAAAGCCUUUUUGUUUUUUUACCUCAUGAAAUCAAAUAUAAAUACAGUUCCAAGAGCAAGAGUAUCCCUAAUUUUCAAAUGAUCAAAGAAACAAGCAGGAAAUGCACUAAAGGUUUCUCUGCAGCCUCUUAUCGUUAUUUACUUAGGGGACAAAAGGAGAAUCAGAGCAUGUUUGAUCCUCCAUGGCUGAGCAGCAGUCUGGCUUGUGUCACAUUGCUCUGCCCAUAGAAACAGAAGUGAGUCCAAGUAAAUCUCGGCCCGCAGAAGCACUGCCUGCAUUUCUUCCAUUUCAUUCCAUUGGUUUGGAAAAAAGCUGAAGAAACCCUGAAAGCCAUUUCACAAAAGGCAUUAAUCUCCUCCAUUCAUUUCGAGUCACCAGACAUCACAGACUGCUAUGCAGGUGACAGGGCUCUGCAAGAGGAGAUUUCUGAAAGGAGCUGUGGUGCUGGUCCUGCUGGUGCUGCUGGAUGGGACCAAAGUCAUGCACCCGGUGCUCAGCAGAGCAGGACAUGUCCUCCAUGGGCUCACUGCAAGCUGGUGCUCAUGGGAACAAAGGGUUCAGCAACUUUCUAUCAGGUCUGAAGCCUGCAAUAUCGAGAUAUGUGGCUCAUACAGGAGGGAGCUGUGUGGUUGAUUUAUCACCGUAAUGCAAACACGUGUAAGUCUCCAACAGCACGGUCCAGUGAAGCUGUAAAGCAGGAACACCGAGAGCGCCUUUGACUAAAUAAAAUAAGAUUAAAAUGUCA